rnacentral:rRNA from 1 species
UACGAAGGGGGCUAGCGUUGUUCGGAAAUUACUGGGCGUAAAGCGCACGUAGGCGGAAUUGUUAAGUUAGGGGUGAAAUCCCAGGGCUCAACCCUGGAACUGCCUUUAAUACUGGCAAUCUCGAGUCCGAGAGAGGUGAGUGAAUUCCGAGUGUAGAGGUGAAAUUCGUAGAUAUUCGGAGGAACACCAGUGGCGAAGGCGGCUCACUGGCUCGGUACUGACGCUGAGGUGCGAAAGCGUGGGGAGCGAAGAGG